rnacentral:rRNA from 1 species
UACGAAGGGGGCUAGCGUUGCUCGGAAUCACUGGGCGUAAAGCGCACGUAGGCGGAUUGUUAAGUCAGGGGUGAAAUCCUGGAGCUCAACUCCAGAACUGCCUUCGAUACUGGCGAUCUCGAGUCCGGGAGAGGUGAGUGGAACUGCGAGUGUAGAGGUGAAAUUCGUAGAUAUUCGCAAGAACACCAGUGGCGAAGGCGGCUCACUGGCCCGGUACUGACGCUGAGGUGCGAAAGCGUGGGGAGCAAACAGG